rnacentral:rRNA from 1 species
CCAGCCCGCUCAGAAACUCAAAUGAAUUGACGGGGCCCGCACAAGCGUGGAGCAUGUGGUUAAUUCGAUGAUACGCGAGGAACCUUACCUGGGCUCAAAUGUAUGUUGACGUAUUCUGAAAGGGAUACUUCUUCGGACAAUAUACAAGGUGCUGCAUGGUUGUCGUCAGCUCGUGCCGUGAGGUGUCGGGUUAAGUCCCAUAACGAGCGCAACCCCUAUCAUUAGUUGCCAUCAGGUCAAGCUGGGGACUCUAAUGAAACUGCCUACGCAAGUAGUGAGGAAGGUGGGGAUGACGUCAAAUCAGCACGGCCCUUACGUCCAGGGCUACACACGUGCUACAAUGGCCGGUACAAAGGGCAGCUACCUGGUGACAGGAUGCUAAUCUCAAAAGCCGGUCUCAGUUCGGAUCGGAGUCUGCAACCCGACUCCGUGAAGCUGGAUUCGCUAGUAAUCGCGCAUCAGCCACGGCGCGGUGAAUACGUUCCCGGGCCUU